UGAAUACUUUACUCUUUUUAGCAAAUCCCUCCCAUACCGAAUAGACUGACUUUAAAUUUUAAAUUUCAGAUCUUGACAUUUCAGCAGUCAUGGAUAAUUAAUUCUCAUCUUAUGGAGCUCAUGGUUGUAAUCAAUAUCAGUCUAUAAAUAGUAAGCUACAAAACCCCAUUGUUGUCCAUCAUCAUCCUAUUGCCAUUCUCCAUACAAUUUGAAGAUUUGGGUUACUAUUAGCAUUUGGCCUUAAAAUGGCUUUAACUCAGGCAAAGAUAGUGCUGCUUUUCAUAGCUAUGAUGGUCCUCAUCUCAUCUGCUGCAGCUGCUGUUGCCCCUCAGGAUUUUAUCAUCAAACCUUCCAAUCUCGGAAGGAAGCUAUUAGCAAAGUAUUAUGGCACUCCCACUGCAUAUGCUGGUCGUAAUGGAGGGGGAGGCUAUCCAUGCUGUAAAUGAUAAAGACAUUGAUCUGUUGGGGAAAAAGAUCAUCUAUGUUGUUUGGAAAAUUUUCUUAAUAAAUGUCGAAGACAAAUGCAGUGUUGAAACCAUAAAUUCCUUUCACCAUACUAUAUUUAUCAAAUGAACAGAUACCUUUACCA